ACAUACGACCAUAGACUCAAGAGAAUUGGGCAUCCCGUCCGGUCUGCCAUACACAAGCUUGAGAUCGGUGGAUUAGUAGUUGGGUGGGUGACCACCAGCGAAUACCCACUGUUGUAUGUU
rnacentral:rRNA from 1 species